GCUUCCCAUCUCAUCGAAGAGGAAAUAGAUGGUACUGCUACGGUGGGCCUCUGCAGAAAUUUAUAGGAUUGUUCAAUAAAGAUUCUCGGAUGGUUGCCUCUCUGUAUUAUAACAUACAUUGCCCUCCCAAUGGGGAGAAAUUAUUGCAUGCACGAAGUGCAAGCGAACCAAGGCAACAAAUCCAGAGCAUAUGCACGGUGGAUAGC
rnacentral:lncRNA from 1 species